CUCACUUAUUAAAGUUUAUUAGGUACAAAGGAAUAAAUCCACAGCAGGGAACUUCAAUAAAAUAUAAAGAACAUUGGGUGAGACAUCGGGGGAGUCACAGUCUGCAAUGUGAGGGUAAGCAAGGCUAGCAGGGGACCUCUCCACAUGUGAGUUCAUGGCCAGGGGCCUAACCCAUGCGCUGCUGGUGGGUACUGAAGGUACCCACUUGGACUUGGAGGGGUAGGCUCCAUGACAGGCCUUGAGCUGCUAGGCCAGAUCCCUGAGACCGUUCCUCGCUUGCUAUUUUUGGUUUCUGCAUGUUCCUUCCUUCUGACCUUAAAUAACUUUGUAAAAAAUAUUUAUGUGUCGUGUUUGUGUGUGUGUGGUGUGUGCGUGUGUGUGCAUGAACAAGGGCACAUGUGUGCACAUGCAUGUGGAGGCCCAAAGGCCAUUCACAGGAAUCUUUUUUGGUCUAUCUCUACUAUCAGUUUCUCACUAACCCUGCAGCUUGCAGAUCGCUCAUUUUGUGAGGUUGGCUGGGCACUGACCUUCCCAGGAUCAGCUGCCUCUACCCAACUUUACCCACUCCUCUACCAAGGAUUACAGACAUGCACCCCUAUGCCUGGCUUUUACGUGGGUGCUGGGGAUAUGAGCUCAGGCCCUCAUGCUUGGGCAGCAGGACGUCUCCUGACAGAGACAUCUCCCCACUCGUGAAUAGUUUAAAUUCUUGUGCCAGCAGUGUAGAACAUGGUGUCCUUCAGUGUACUGGGCAAACAGACUACUUCAAAGGCAGGGCUGCCUUCCAGAUGGCCCUUGUCGUAGUUAUGAAAGCUUUUUAAUGAUUAUUACUUUGCGUGGCUGGGAGAAGAGUAGACUGGAUCCUGACCUUUCUGCACACUUCCAGAACCAACGCAACAAAGUCAGCGUUGAAUGGAACCUUCACCUCUGUUCAUGUGGCUGUUACAGUGGCUUGAGUCCUUACCCCAGAGAUGUUGGAAACUUGGCCCUGGCUCAGUUUCACCUAUCUGGAAGCAUGUAGGACAUUUGCUCCAUAUGACAGUUAGGUGUCUGCAGACACUCUCCUUAUCCUUUGACCCUGGAUGGCCUGGGCUGGGCUAAUGUUCUUGUGGGGUGAGUGCCUGAGUGAGAUGCUCCAAAGCUCAUCAUAGCUCAGUGCCCUUCUCCUUUGUCUACAGCUAUUCUGAGCACAGUGAGGGCUCAGACGGCUUCCUACCUCUUUCCCCUCCUCUGCUACAGCCUCCCCUCUCUGGUGGAUGGGAGCAUUUGGGGCCUGACAAGAAGCAAAAGCAUACUUCACUCCCUGGAGAAUCAAAGAAGGGUGCAGAUUGCUGCCCCGGCCUGGAGUGGCCCUCUGUCUAUUCAGGGCAGCUGACUUGGCUGCAUUCAUCUGAGGAGCACCCCAGACACACACCACCAGUUGGUGUGAUGAGAGUCAUGCCAAUAAGAAGCUGUUGUGGAGAGUUAUGACUUUUGGACUACUUGAAAACUAAGGAUGCUCUGGAAAAGGUUUCAGGAGGACCAGCCUGCAAGCAUGUGCUAUAGACACAGUGGACACCACAGGGUGGGAUAGGGCACCACCUGUACUAGACAGACAAAUGCCAGGAUGCAUAUUUUAAAAAAUGUUAAAAUAUUACUCAAAUAAAAGCUGACUAAAAUGGUGCUUUAGGGUUCGUGCAAAUCAUUAUUUACAAUAAACAAAUGCUCAGUUCUGAGCCUGUAUGUCAAAUGUGUGGAGCUUGAGUACAGUAGAGUCUCGAGGAGUUGUCCUGGUGUCCAUCCAAUCCAGAACCCCAGGGCCUUGGCUUCACCAUCAUCUCACCGGAGUGCCUUCAGAGAUAACU
rnacentral:lncRNA from 1 species